AUUGAACGCUGGCGGCAUGCCUUACACAUGCAAGUCGAACGGUAACAGGUUAAGCUGACGAGUGGCGAACGGGUGAGUAAUAUAUCGGAACGUGCCCAGUAGUGGGGGAUAGCCCGGCGAAAGCCGGAUUAAUACCGCAUACGACCUACGGGUGAAAGGGGGGGAUCGCAAGACCUCUCGCUAUUGGAGCGGCCGAUAUCAGAUUAGGUAGUUGGUGGGGUAAAGGCCUACCAAGCCUGCGAUCUGUAGUUGGUCUGAGAGGACGACCAGUCACACUGGGACUGAGACACGGCCCAGACUCCUACGGGAGGCAGCAGUGGGGAAUUUUGGACAAUGGGCGCAAGCCUGAUCCAGCAAUGCCGCGUGCAGGAAGAAGGCCUUCGGGUUGUAAACUGCUUUUGUCAGGGAAGAAAUCCUCUGGGUUAACACCUCGGGGGGAUGACGGUACCUGAAGAAUAAGCACCGGCUAACUACGUGCCAGCCGCCGCAGUAAGAC
rnacentral:rRNA from 1 species